AAACAAAAUACUAUUUUAAUCCAAAUGUCAGUUUACAUUCAGCUUGAUCUGAAUGUAAACUGACAUUUGGAUUAAAAUAGUAUU